UACAGAGGUCUCAAGCGUUGUUCGGAUUCAUUGGGCGUAAAGGGUGCGUAGGUGGCGUCGUAAGUGGGGUGUGAAAUCCCGGGGCUUAACCCCGGGACUGCAUUCCAUACUGCGGUGCUUGAGGACUGGAGAGGAGACUGGAAUUUACGGUGUAGCAGUGAAAUGCGUAGAGAUCGUAAGGAAGACCAGUGGCGAAGGCGGGUCUCUGGACAGUUCCUGACGCUGAGGCACGAAGGCCAGGGGAGCAAACGGG
rnacentral:rRNA from 1 species